rnacentral:rRNA from 1 species
UACCAGCUCCAGUAGCGUAUAUUAAAGUUGUUGCAGUUAAAAAGCUCGUAGUUGGAUGUCGGAAAGGACCUCAUGGUUUUGUCCGGCACUCUUAAGGAGUGUUCCGUGACCCAGAGUGUUUUCCAUUUCCUAGACGACUGGAGUCGGGUCAAUUUGUGCAUUUACUUGCACGAUUGAUCGCUUUUCUCGCAAGAGAAAGAAACGGUUUCGGUCAUGUUACUGUGAAGAAAUCAGAGUGCUCAAAGCAGGCAUUUGUCCGAAUGGAUUAGCAUGGGAUAACCACCCUUGACCUCGGUCUUUGGGAGUUGGUUCAAAAGAUCGAUGGCGCUUGAUUAAUAGGGACAGUUGGGGGCAUUCGUAUUUCGAAGUCAGAGGUGAAAUUCUUGGAUUUUCGAAAGACGAACAUAUGCGAAAGCAUUUGCCAAGGAUGUUUUCAUUAAUCAAGAACGAAAGUUCGGGGAUCGAAGACGAUCAGAUACCGUCGUAGUCCGAACCAUAAACGAUGCCGACUAGGGAUUGGAAGAUGUGCUUUUGCCAUCUUUCAGCACCUUCCGAGAAAUCAAAGUUUUUGGGUUCCGGGGGGAGUAUGGUCGCAAGGCUGAAACUUAAAGGAAUUGACGGAAGGGCACCACCAGGAGUGGAGCCUGCGGCUUAAUUUGACUCAACACGGGGAAACUUACCAGGUCCAGACAUAGGAAGGAUUGACAGAUUGACAGCUCUUUCUUGAUUCUAUGGGUGGUGGUGCAUGGCCGUUCUUAGUUGGUGGAGUGAUUUGUCUGGUUAAUUCCGAUAACGAACGAGACCUUCACCUCUAAAUAGUACGCAUCUCUUCCAUUCUUAUUUCUCAAAAAGAAGUUUUACUUUUUUGAGAGAAAUUUGAACGAGAUGAUUUUCAAUGUACUUCUUAGAGGGACGAUGUGCGUUAGCACAAGGAAGUUGGAGGCAAUAACAGGUCUGUGAUGCCCUUAGAUGUCCUGGGCCGCACGCGUGCUACACUGACGGAUCCAACAAGUAUGCUUUCUUACCUGGACCGAAGGGUUUGGGAAAUCUAGCAAUGUCCGUCGUGAUGGGGAUCGACCCUUGUAACUUUGGUCGUGAACGAGGAAUUCCUUGUAAGCGCGAGUCAUCAUCUCGCGUUGAAUACGUCCCUGCCCUU